rnacentral:rRNA from 1 species
UGGAUGAGCUGUGGGUAGGGGUGAAAGGCCAAUCAAACUCGGAGAUAGCUGGUUCUCUGCGAAAUCUAUUUAGGUAGAGCGUCAUCCGAAUACCCCCGGGGGUAGAGCACUGGAUGGGUAAUGGGGCCCCACAGGCUUACUGAUCCUAACCAAACUCCGAAUACCGAGGAGUACUAGAUGGCAGACACACUGCGGAUGCUAACGUCCGUAGUGAAGAGGGAAACAACCCUGACCUACAGCUAAGGCCCCUAAUUCAUGGCUAAGUGGGAAAGCAGGUGGGACGACCAAAACAACCAGGAGGUUGGCUUAGAAGCAGCCAUCCUUUAAAGAUAGCGUAACAGCUCACUGGUCUAAAUAAGUUGUCCUGCGGCGAAGAUGUAACGGGGCUCAAGCCAUGAGCCGAAGCUUAGGAUGCACAUAGUGCAUGGUAGCAGAGCGUAGUGUGACAUAACUCCAUGUCUCCUUACCCACUUCGGUGGGAUUGGAGACGAGGAGUUUUCUGUGAAGCCGGCGCGUGAGCGAUCCGGUGGAGAGAUCACUAGUGAGAAUGAUGACAUGAGUAGCGACAAAGAGUGUGAGAGACACUCUCGCCGAAAGUCCAAGGGUUCCUGCUUAAAGCUAAUCUGAGCAGGGUAAGCCGACCCCUAAGGCGAGGCCGAAAGGCGUAGUCGAUGGGAACCAGGUUAAUAUUCCUGGGCCGUGGAGUGGUGACGGAUCUCGAAGGUAGUUCAUCCUUAUUGGAUUGAAUGGGCUGCUUAGAGGUUCCUGGAAAUAGCCCUCCUAUAAGAUCGUACCCUAAACCGACACAGGUGGAA